rnacentral:rRNA from 1 species
UACGAGGGGGGCGAGCGUUGUUCGGAAUUACUGGGCGUAAAGCGUGCGCAGGCGGUUUUGUAAGACUGUCGUGAAAUCCCCGGGCUUAACCUGGGAAUGGCGAUGGUGACUGCAAGGCUAGAGUUUGGCAGAGGGGGGUAGAAUUCCACGUGUAGCAGUGAAAUGCGUAGAUAUGUGGAGGAACACCGAUGGCGAAGGCAGCCCCCUGGGUCAAAACUGACGCUCAUGCACGAAAGCGUGGGGAGCAAACAGG